UACAGAGGGGGCAAGCGUUAUUCGGAAUUAUUGGGCGUAAAGGGCGCGUAGGCGGCCAUUCAAGUGACGGGUGAAAGCCCUCGGCUUAACCGAGGAACUGCCUGUCAGACUGGAUGGCUUGAGACCGGGAGAGGUGAGUGGAAUUCCCAGUGUAGCGGUGAAAUGCGUAGAUAUUGGGAGGAACACCAGUGGCGAAGGCGGCUCUCUGGACCGGUUCUGACGCUCAGGUGCGAA
rnacentral:rRNA from 1 species